rnacentral:rRNA from 1 species
UACGUAGGUGGCAAGCGUUGUCCGGAAUUAUUGGGCGUAAAGGGCGCGUAGGCGGCCAUGCGUGUCUUCCGUGAAAUCCCUCGGCUCAACCGAGGACGUGCGGAAGAAACUGCAAGGCUCGAGUCCGGAAGAGGGGGGCGGAAUUCCCAGUGUAGCGGUGAAAUGCGUAGAUAUUGGGAGGAACACCAGUGGCGAAGGCGGUCCCCUGGGCCGGAACUGACGCUGAGGCGCGAAAGCGUGGGUAGCAAACGGG